UACAGAGGUCUCAAGCGUUGUUCGGAUUCAUUGGGCGUAAAGGGUGCGUAGGUGGCGCUGUAAGUCGGGUGUGAAAUUUCGGAGCUUAACUCCGAAACUGCAUUCGAUACUGCGGUGCUUGAGGACUGGAGAGGAGACUGGAAUUCAUGGUGUAGCAGUGAAAUGCGUAGAGAUCAUGAGGAAGACCAGUGGCGAAGGCGGGUCUCUGGACAGUUCCUGACACUGAGGCGCGAAAGCGUGGGGAGCAAACAGG
rnacentral:rRNA from 1 species